CUUCCUCAUAAUAAUGACCCAUCAUCGAAAGUCCACUUAUCUCACGGAUGUCCCAAAGAAAAAUGCCAAUUUCACCAUUGGCAGUCACAAAGGUGUUGGUUUCUGGACACCAAACCUCACAAAGAGUUCUGUAAAUGGAGUUUGGGCGAUGGUAAUCUUUUGCAGCAGAACUGACUGCAAAAGCUAACUCUCAGAGAUUCCUCUUGAGUAGAAGUUUCUGGACCCACAAAGACCACUCCCUAAAUUUUGGAAGAAAAGAAAUCUCUCCUCGACUGACUAGUGCGCUUCCCCAUCGUAUCUCUCUAUUAUCAAUUCUCUCACAAAUCACAACCCUUGGAAUGUACUCCAUGCUCUGGGAAUGAUGAGGUGGAAGACACAAAAAGGGAAGAUGACUGCUAGAGCGAUUGGACUUACUAGUAUCCAAACUCUCGUGACAAUCACUAAUGGUGGACAUAUACAACUCCGACAAUGGCUCCAGAAGGUCGAGGGAAGGAUCUGUCGUUGGCUUAUGGACACUAACUUUAAGUUCACCUCGUACGCGGUCUGGGCAUGGUACUUCACAUCAGUAUCUUUGAAAUGCAGAUAACUUUUGCCUUAAUUUUUAAACUCAACAAUUUCAUGCAUGUCAGAACACACUUUAUCAUUAGAACUUGUUCCAGCCAUGUUUGCAAAAAAAAAAAAAAAAAAAAAGUCAGCCAAAAAAAGAAAAAGGGACAGUAAACCUUUCAAAUUGGUUUAUUGUCUAAAAUCUUGAGUUUCCAAAAUAUGUAAGCAAUCUCUACAAAAAAUGCCUUGGAUGGUCAAAGGAACAGGUCCUUGAUCCCCAAGCAUGAAGUGCCUUGGACAGUUGAAGGAGUCACUCCUUAGUCCUCAACACAAAGUGUCUUGAACGAUUGAAGGAGCCAGUCCUCGGUCUUCAACACAAAGUGUCUUCGAUGAUGGAAGGAGCAGGUCCUUGGUUCUCAACACAAAGUGCCUUGGACAGUCGAAGGAGCCAGUCUUUGGUUCUUAACACAAAGUGCCUUGGACAGUCGAAGGAACCAGUCCUUGGUCCUUAACACAAAGUGUUUUGAAUAGUCGAAGGAGUCAGUCCUUGGUCCUUAACACAAAGUGCAUUGGACGAUGGAAGGAGCAGGUCCUUGGUCCUUAACAAAAAGUGCAUUGGAUGGUGAAAAAUGACAGUCCUUGAUCCUCAACGUGUACAGAGGUUUGCAAUUUUGAGUUUAUUCAUAAACAUGUAAUUUCUGAACUCGUAAAAUAAUUGCAACAAAGAAAAAAAACCUCUACACGCAAAAAAAAAAAAAUUGAACCUCAAAAUCCUUGAUUUGCUCCAAAAGGCUGAAUCCCUGCAACAACAAAAAAAAUGAAGAAUGUUAGUUUCGAUUUUAUUAACAAAAAAAAACGACCACACCAAAAUAAUAAUUGCAAAAAAAAAAACGAAACAAGAG
rnacentral:lncRNA from 1 species